rnacentral:rRNA from 1 species
GACGUAGGAGGCGAGCGUUUGUCCGGAUUCAUUGGGCGUAAAGAGCGUGUAGGCGGUUUGGUAGGUCCGCUGUGAAAACUCGAGGCUCAACCUCGAGACGCCGGUGGAAACCAUCAGACUAGAGUCCGGAAGAGGAGAGUGGAAUUCCUGGUGUAGCGGUGAAAUGCGCAGAUAUCAGGAAGAACACCCGUGGCUAAGGCGGCUCUCUAGUACGGUACUGACGCUGAGACGCGAAAGCGUGGGGAGCGAACAGG